CGCUUGUGGGGCAUUGAAGGCAGUUUAUACCAGAACUUCACAAGAGACGCCCAUCAUGGCAGCAUACACGUUUUGCACUCCCAUGAUUAAGCAUGAAAGUUUUCUCGUGCUCGAAAGGUUGUUCUGUUGCAACUGGAUUAUCACAUUGGCUAUGUUAUGUACUGUGUCUAUAUAUACGGUAUAUAGGUGUUUAAACUAGAAGGACAUUUCAUUAAAAUCAGCUCUAAGGUAUUUUAUAGUUACCGUAUAUGGUAAAUGAAAGCACCACCAGAUAACUAACCUAUCUAGAAUUUAAAUUGAACCACUUCGAGCUCCAGUUUUUCUGUUGAAAAAGGCCACAUCGUAAAGGUUUUUCAGAGUUUGGAUUACCUGUAGGUGUCUGGUAAUGUAAAUAUAAUUAUGUUACAUGUAUUAUUAAAAUAUUAUUUGGAUUGCUUUGUUAUUUGAUAAUUAAUAAAUUUGGGGCCAAGCAGGAUGUCUAUGGAUAAGUCAGAUGGCUGUUUGAUAGCCAGUGUUCAUUUAUUGGGUAACCUUGCCAUGUGACCUUGCUUUGAGGUUUUUCAUGGUUUCUACUGAACCUGAAUGUAAGGAAAUACCAUUUGUUAACUUGAAUUCUCCAAUGUAACACCAGCAGUGUAUUUACAACCAAAUCAGUGGGACACUAUUGUGGCAUAAUAUUUGCAGUGUUUAUAAG